rnacentral:rRNA from 1 species
UACAGAGGGUGCGAGCGUUAAUCGGAAUUACUGGGCGUAAAGCGUGCGUAGACGGUCAUGUAAGUCGGAUGUGAAAGCCCCGGGCUCAACCUGGGAAUUGCAUUCGAGACUGCAUGGCUUGGGUGCGGAAGAGGGAAGCGGAAUUUCCGGUGUAGCGGUGAAAUGCGUAGAUAUCGGAAGGAACACCAGUGGCGAAAGCGGCUUCCUGGUCCGACACCGACGUUCAGGCACGAAAGCGUGGGAGCAACAGG